rnacentral:rRNA from 1 species
AAUAUUCUCCUAUGGGCGAAAGCCUGCUCCAUCCAUUCCGCGUGAGUGAAGAAGGUCUUCGGUUUUUAUUGCACUUUAAGUUGGGAGGUAGGGCUGUAAGUUACUACCUUUCUUUUUUGAAGUUAUCGACAGUAUAAUCACCGGCUAACUUCGUGCUCGCAGCCGCGGUAUUACGAAGGGUGCAAGCGUUAAUCGGAAUUACUGGGCGUAAAGCGCGAGUAGGUGGUUUGUUAAGUUGGAAGUGAAAGCCCCGGGCUCAACAUGGGAACUGCUUUCAAAACUGGCAAGCUAGAGUAUGGCAGAGGGUGGUGGAAUUUCCUGUGUAGCGGUGAAAUGCGUAGAUAUAGGAAGGAACACAAGUGGCGAAGGCGACAACCUGGGCUAAUACUGACACUGAGGUGCGAAAGCGUGGGGAGCAAACA